UACGAAGGGGACUAGCGUUGUUCGGAUUUACUGGGCGUAAAGCGCACGUAGGCGGAUCUUUAAGUCAGGGGUGAAAUCCUGGAGCUCAACUCCAGAACUGCCUUUGAUACUGAAGAUCUUGAGUUCGGGAGAGGUGAGUGGAACUGCGAGUGUAGAGGUGAAAUUCGUAGAUAUUCGCAAGAACACCAGUGGCGAAGGCGGCUCACUGGCCCGAUACUGACGCUGAGGCACGAAAGCGUGGGGAGCAAACAGG
rnacentral:rRNA from 1 species